rnacentral:rRNA from 1 species
UUGUAUUUAUUAGAUAUCAAACCAAUAUUCCUUCGGGUCUAUUGUGAUGAUUCAUAGUAACUGGUCGGAGCGAGGCUAGGCCUUGCUAAAUCAUUCAAGUUUCUGCCCUAUCAGCUUUCGAUGGUAGUGUAUUGGACUACCAUGGCUAUAACGGGUAACGGAGAAUUAGGGUUCGAUUCCGGAGAGGGAGCCUGAGAAACGGCUACCACAUCUAAGGAAGGCAGCAGGCGCGUAAAUUACCCAAUCCUGACUCAGGGAGGUAGUGACAAGAAAUAACAACUCGGGGGCUAACGCCUUACGAGAUUGCAAUGGGUACAAUUUAAACCACUUAACGAGGAACAAUUGGAGGGCAAGUCUGGUGCCAGCAGCCGCGGUAAUUCCAGCUCCAAUAGCGUAUAUUAAAGUUGUUGCAGUUAAAAAGCUCGUAGUUGAACUUCUGUGAGUCGCGACGGUGGCUUUGUCGUCGUCUGCGGCUUACAUCCGCUUGAGAACUAUGUACGUCCUUGAGUGGUCGGCAUAGGAAUCAGGCCUUUUACUGUGAAAAAAUCAGAGUGUUCAAGGCAGGCAAGCGCCCUG